rnacentral:rRNA from 1 species
AAUGAACGUUGGCGGCGUGGAUUAGGCAUGCAAGUCGAGCGAGAAUUUGCGAUUGGAAGCUUCGGCCGAAGAAAGUGAAGGAAAGCGGCAAACGGCGUAGUAAGGCGUAGGUACGUACCCUCAGGUCGGGAAUAGCCAUGGGAAACUGUGGGUAAUGCCCGAUAAUCUCUGCGGAGCAAAGGUGUGAUUCCGCCGGAGGAGCGGCUUACGUGAUAUUAGCUAGUUGGUGGGGUAAUGGCCUACCAAGGCGAUGAUGUCUAGGGGGUGUGAGAGCAUGGCCCCCACGACCGGAACUGAGACACUGUCCGGACACCUACGGGUGGCUGCAGUCGAGAAUCUUCCGCAAUGGGCGAAAGCCUGACGGAGCGACGCCGCGUGGUGGAUGAAGGCCCUUGGGUUGUAAACCGCUGUCAGUUGGGAGGAAAUCUACGGGGGUACUCCCCUGUAGUUGACCGAUCUUCAGAGGAAGGACGGGCUAAGUUCGUGCCAGCAGCCG